GAUUGGAUAUGCCCAGGUGGGAUUAGCUAGUUGGUGAGGUAAUGGCUCACCAAGGCGACGAUCCCUAGCUGGUCUGAGAGGAUGAUCAGCCACACUGGAACUGAGACACGGUCCAGACUCCUACGGGAGGCAGCAGUGGGGAAUAUUGCAGAAUGCGGGAAACCCUGAUGCGGCCAUGCCGCGUGUGUGAAGAAGGCCUUCGGGUUGUAAAGCACUUUCAGCGAGGAGGAAAGGUCAGUAGCUAAUAUCUGCUGGGUGUGACGUUACUCGCAGAAGAAGCACCGGCUAACUCCGUGCCAGCAGCCGCGGUGAUACGGAGGGUGCCUGCGUUAAUCGUAAUUACUGAGCGUAAAGCGCACGCAUGGGGCUGGAUACGUUAGAUGUGAUAGCCCCUGGCUCAUGCUGGGAAUUGCAUUUAGAACUGUCCAGCUAGAGUCUUGUACAGAGGGGUAGAAUUCCAGGUGUAGCGGUGAAAUGCGUAUAGAUCUGGAGGAGUACCGGUGGCGAAUCUAGUCCCCUGUGCUCAGACUGAUGCUCAGCUGCGAAAAGCGUGGUGUGCAAAGGGGUUAGAUACCCUGCCAGUCUACGCCGUAAACGAUGUCGAUUUGACGCUGUGUCGUGAGUACGUGGCCUCCUGUAGCUAACUCGUUAUAUCGACCGUCUGGGGAAGUACGGCCGCAGGUCAAGCUCUUACGAAUUGACGGUGGCCCGCACAAGCGGUGCGAGCUUGUGCCUAAAUUCUGAUGAUAAGCGAUAACCCUUACUUGAUCUUUGACAUGG
rnacentral:rRNA from 1 species